AACAUCGGAACGUGCCCAGUCUGGGGGAGUAACGCAGCGAAAGCUGUGCUAAUACCGCAUACGAUCUACGGAUGAAAGCAGGGGAUCGCAAGACCUUGCGCGAAUGGAGCGGCCGAUGGCAGAUUAGGUAGUUGGUGAGGUAAAGGCUCACCAAGCCUUCGAUCUGUAGCUGGUCUGAGAGGACGACCAGCCACACUGGGACUGAGACACGGCCCAGACUCCUACGGGAGGCAGCAGCC
rnacentral:rRNA from 1 species